rnacentral:rRNA from 1 species
GUGCAGCAGUCGAGAAACCUCCGCAAUGCGGGCAACCGCGACGGGGGACCCCAGUGCCGUGGCAUCGCCACGGCUUUUCCGGAGUGUAAAAGCUCCGGGAAUAAGGGCUGGGCAAGGCCGGUGGCAGCCGCCGCGGUAAUACCGGCGGCCCGAGUGGUGGCCGCUAUUAUUGGGCCUAAAGCGUCCGUAGCCGGGCCUGUAAGUCCCUGGCGAAAUCCCACGGCUCAACCGUGGGGCUUGCUGGGGAUGCUGCAGGCCUUGGGACCGGGAGAGGCCGGGGGUACCCCUGGGGUAGGGGUGAAAUCCUAUAAUCCCAGGGGACCGCCAGUGGCGAAGGCGCCCGGCUGGAACGGGUCCGACGGUGAGGGACGAAGGCCAGGGGAGCGAACCGGAUUAGAUACCCCUGUAGU